rnacentral:lncRNA from 1 species
CUGCGCAGUGGCCGCCCCACGCUGACACCUCGCUCCCUCUGGAGCUGCUUGCGGAGGUGUUUCUGCAGCCUCUGUUCAGGAACUUCUGCAUCUGUGCCUGCCUCCCCAAACGCUGGUGAAACCAGAGAACAGCAUCCCGUACGCAGCCUUUACACAUCCCAUACAGCCUGUUUCUUCUUGGCUUCUCCAUUGCUUGAAAGGAGCUGGGGAGACUGUCUUUUUAUAGGGAUGAGGAUUUCUUAUCCCUCUGGAGAAACCAAAGGGUCUAGGUGCCCUGCCAGCUCCUGUGAUGCUGUGGAAGAACGCAGACCCUCCUGGGUGAGGAAGCAGCGAGGAGGCAGAGCUGCCGGGCUGCUGUGGAAAGACGAGUGAUGUUUCAGGAGCCAGGCUGGAGGGGAAGAGCAGAGCUUGCACUAGUUUCAGGUUCUCCAUAAUGAGGUAUUUAAAAAUAAUAAUAAUAAUACUAAUAAUAAUAAAAAACC